rnacentral:lncRNA from 1 species
CGUGCUCAUUCCCCAUUUUUCAAUCCCUUCUUCUUCGUUCCUUUAAAUCGAAAACCAACAGAAUCCCUCUUCAGGUUUUCCUCUUCGUCAUCACCAUGGAAGAGCACUUGAAAAGUUGAAGAGAAACCAGCCGUUGAACCAUAUGCACGACCCCAGCCCCCCUGUCAUCAUCUUCUUCGUUAAAAAACACCAGCCGCUAUUCACACACAAAAAAACCAUCCCGUUAGUCACCUUCCCCAGCGGCAAACUCCUUGUAAUUCCCCCAUUUCCAGCCAAGUUCACAGAGCCAACCCAUCAUACACAUUCACGCACGGACAAGGGGUGGUAGAAAAAAGUAGCGAAAUGAAGAGAGGAUCAGUUUAUUGUUCCUCUGAUUCUGGAGUUUAGUUCCUUCUAAUUUUCAGUCUGGACUUGUUCUUCAUUGUUGUUGUUCAGUGGAGAGGUUGGAAGCGAGGAGGCGUCGGGGUACUGUCCCGUGGUUUCCCGGUUCGAUUGUUACUGAUUUCGUUUGAAGCUGGGUCGAUUUCUGAUUGUAAUUGUCGUGUCGUUUCAAUCCGUGUAAUUUCCGCAUUUCAAUUAAUCAGAAAGCUAAUUUCAGGUUACUUCUAAUCUUUUUUACUUCAUUUUGGAUCUGAAUAUGAUUUGUGCUGGUGUUUGGGGUUGUUUUGCCCUUGUGGUAGUCUGCAAUUCGCUUGGUUUCGUAGCUGUUAGUAAAUCAUGAAUUGGCUAUGGAUGUUGUAUGAUUCCUUGACAAUGUUCUCUGAUUUUCAAACAUGAGC